rnacentral:rRNA from 1 species
AUUGAACGCUGGCGGCAGGCCUAACACAUGCAAGUCGAACGAGUGGCGGACGGGCGAGUAAUGUCUGGGAAACUGCCCCAUCGUGGGGGAUAACUACUGGAAACGGUAGCUAAUACUGCAUUUCAUCGGAUUUGCCCAGAUGGGAUUAGCUAGUCGGUGGGGUAACGGCUCACCUAGUCGACGAUCCCUAGCUGGUCUGAGAGGAUGACCAGCCACACUGGAACUGAGACACGGUCCAGACUCCUACGGGAGGCAGCAGUGGGGAAUAUUGCACAAGGGGCGCAGGCCUGAUGCAGCCAUGCCGCGUGUAUGAAGAAGGCCUUCGGGUUGUAAAGUACUUUCAGCGAGGAGGCGUUACUCGCAGAAGAAGCACCGGCUAACUCCGUGCCAGCAGCCGCGGUAAUUC